rnacentral:rRNA from 1 species
GAUGAACGCUGGCGGCGUGCCUAAUACAUGCAAGUCGAGCGAACGGACGAGAAGCUUGCUUCUCUGAUGUUAGCGGCGGACGGGUGAGUAACACGUGGAUAACCUACCUAUAAGACUGGGAUAACUUCGGGAAACCGUAUCUAAUACCGGAUAAUAUUUUGAACCGCAUGGUUCAAAAGUGAAAGACGGUCUUGCUGUCACUUAUAGAUGGAUCCGCGCUGCAUUAGCUAGUUGGUAAGGUAACGGCUUACCAAGGCAACGAUGCAUAGCCGACCUGAGAGGGUGAUCAGCCACACUGGAACUGAGACACGGUCCAGACUCCUACGGGAGGCAGCAGUAGGGAAUCUUCCGCAAUGGGCGAAAGCCUGACGGAGCAACGCCGCGUGAGUGAUGAAGGUCUUCGGAUCGUAAAACUCUGUUAUUAGGGAAGAACAUAUGUGUAAGUAACUGUGCACAUCUUGACGGUACCUAAUCAGAAAGCCACGGCUAACUACGUG